ACCUGGCAGGCUCAGUUGGUAGAGCAGGUGACUCUAGAUCUUGGGGUCGUGAGUUUGAGCCCCAUGUUGGGUG
rnacentral:tRNA from 1 species